UGCAACUCGCCUGCAUGAAGUCGGAAUUGCUAGUAAUCGCAGAUCAGCAUGCUGCGGUGAAUACGUUCCCGGGCCUUGUACACACCGCCCGUCACACCAUGGGAGUCGGUAACACCCGAAGUCGGUAGCCUAACCGUAAGGAGGGCGCCGCCGAAGGUGGGAUUGAUGACUGGGGUGAAGUCGUAACAAGGUAGC
rnacentral:rRNA from 1 species